AUGCAUUCACAUAUAGAUAGCUUAUUUGCAUUGUUCGAAAAACUUUGUAGUCUCAAUGAUGAUGCAUACAUGUCAACGAUGGGUGUUGGCUCCAACAAUUCGCACUGGUCUCAAACCAAUGACAUGCAUUUCAAAAACCAUGAGUUCAAGGUGGACGAGGAGGGUGAGGGCAUUGUCGACACACCGAAAGGAAGAGCGGGCAAUUACACCAACGCCGAUGACAUCUUACUAUGCAAUAUUUGGUUGCAAGUGUCGAGGGAUCCAUCCGUUGGAGGUGAUCAAAGUAGAGAUGCUUAUUGGCUUCGGAUGAAGGAACACUUUGAUGUUCGCAAGGUGAGUGGAAUUGACCGAUCACUUCGGUCCCGGUGGUCGACAAUCAACUCGGAUUGUCAAAGGUGGGCGGCCUGUCAAAAGGCGGUUGACAAGUUUGAAAGGAUCGAUAUGGUUGACUAG
rnacentral:rRNA from 1 species